GGUUAAGCGACUAAGCGUACACGGUGGAUGCCCUGGCAGUCAGAGGCGAUGAAGGACGUGCUAAUCUGCGAUAAGCGUCGGUAAGGUGAUAUGAACCGUUAUAACCGGCGAUUUCCGAAUGGGGAAACCCAGUGUGUUUCGACACACUAUCAUUAACUGAAUCCAUAGGUUAAUGAGGCGAACCGGGGGAACUGAAACAUCUAAGUACCCCGAGGAAAAGAAAUCAACCGAGAUUCCCCCAGUAGCGGCGAGCGAACGGGGAGCAGCCCAGAGCCUGAAUCAGUGUGUGUGUUAGUGGAAGCGUCUGGAAAGGCGCGCGAUACAGGGUGACAGCCCCGUACACAAAAAUGCACAUGCUGUGAGCUCGAUGAGUAGGGCGGGACACGUGGUAUCCUGUCUGAAUAUGGGGGGACCAUCCUCCAAGGCUAAAUACUCCUGACUGACCGAUAGUGAACCAGUACCGUGAGGGAAAGGCGAAAAGAAC
rnacentral:rRNA from 1 species